rnacentral:misc_RNA from 1 species
CUCUCUCUCUCUCUCCCCUCUGUGUAUAUUCAUUUACUUCUUGCUUAUAUCAUUAUAUCUACCUACAUCAGUGAAUUAUCACUGUGAAAGUUACUCUCUUUAAGAGAAAGCGUUUGAUGUUUUUGACCUACUAGUGUGAGAAGUUGGGUGAGUUUCUCUAUACAGGAAGAUGAAGUGAAGCGACCCUCUUCAUCACUAGGAAUUGCUGCUGAACUGUGCGGUUCUUGUUCUUUCUGUUUUCUUUUUCCCCCCGGACUGUGUUAUACUUGAAAAUAUUAAAAUACAAGAGUGGUAUAUCGGUAAUGUUGAAGGUUUGAUAUGGAUUUUCGUGAAAAGAUAUGAUAUGAGUUAGACUGGCUUUUUAAGCUGAGGAUCUAUUUUGUUACUGUUUGUAGGGUGUAUAAUCGCGUCAAUCAAGUCUUUGUUAUUUGGUCUCAUUUUAUAUUGUAUUGCCUUUUGUUAAUACUUAUAUAUAUGUAUUAAAUGUUAAUAUUCAAAAUUUUAGACUGUUUCUUAAAUGGGAAUGUGAUUCUUUCAUGGAAUAUUACUGUGCGGUUGGAUAGAAUGCCUUUUUGCUAUUGGCUUCAGUUUGCUUCUGAAGCCUUUAUCAUCAUUAUUAUCUUCUUUUUUUAGUGGACUUUUUUUUCUCUUAUUUUUUCUUCCCUUUUGUAUUGUAUGUUAUUCCUGACAAAGAAGGAUGCUGGUUAUGGCCCCUUCAAUUUCGCUCUUGUGUUCUAUGGGAUAAAGGUUGUUGGUUAUAAGAUGAGCAGACAUUUUAUGUCAUGUAUCAGAAAGCAUGCCCAAAAAGCUAAUACUAUCGGCGAGGACCUAUAUGUUCUUGUACGGAAGGCAAAAGGUCUAAUUGGAUAAUAUGUAGAAAGCAGCAAGUGUGAGUUAGAAUGUUAAUUAUUAUAGUUUCUUGAUAGUAUAUACCAAAAUAAUUACUAAAGAUCAACUAGAUAACAUGUAUUAAUGGUAAUUGUAUCAGUUUAAUGAUGUGAGGAAGACCCAAAAUAUUAGGGAAAUGAAAUAGCAUGUGUUGUCAUAUGUUGAGAUGUUAAUCGUUUCUAAUGUUGCCGCAUGUGAUAUUGUUGAGUAAAAAGAUUUAAGUGAAGAAGGGGAUAAAGAUAAACAAGGAGGAGAAAAAGAUAAACCCAAGAAGAUAAUGAAUAGCAGCUUGGAUCUUGGAUAGUGUUUUAGUGUGUUUUUCUUCCUUUUCCUUUGGUUUCUUUUUCUUUUUGUGGUCCUCGAAUAGCUUAAGUUAGAAAAUUGGUAACUAGAGAGCUAUUCGAAAUGUAGCCUUUCCAUUUUGGGGUUUUCCAUCAUUGGCCGCUACACAAGUGUAGCAUAAAGACUUAGAAUGCUUGACGUAAUGGUUGAUCACUAACCUCAGCUAUUAUCGGUAUAUUUGUUCAUUGAAAUGCUAUUUUACAAGUAUUAGAAUUGGUAAUGCUUGUUUGAUUGAUACUGGAUAGAAACUGGCAGCUGUCUUGAUAGAAAUUUUGCGGAGAAAUUCCUUUUGUGUUAAGCUAUUAUGCAUCUAGGCAAAUGUAGAAGUUAAGUAGUGAAUUAUUUGAAAACUAAUAGGAAAUAUAACUUGCCAUUAGCAAGCAAUUUUAUGAGAUUAAUUUCAUCCGGUGGUGAAUUUUAUGAGAUUAAUUUCAUCCGGUGGUGAAACUUGUAUAGCUUUUUAGUAGG